GUGCUUGCGUUGGCAGCACAUAUACUAAAAUUGGAAAGAUACAAAGAUUAGUAUGGUCCCUGUGCAAGGAUGACAUGCAAAUUCAUGAAGCAUUCUAUAUUUCA